GUUGUGAGGGAAGAAGCGGUACCGUUCGAAUAGGGCGGUACCUUGACGGUACCUCACCAGAAAGCCACGGCUAACUACGUGCCAGCAGCCGCGGUAAUACGUAGGUGGCAAGCGUUGUCCGGAAUUAUUGGGCGUAAAGCGCGCGCAGGCGGCUUCUUAAGUCUGAUGUGAAAUCUCGGGGCUCAACCCCGAGCGGCCAUUGGAAACUGGGGAGCUUGAGUGCAGAAGAGGAGAGUGGAAUUCCACGUGUAGCGGUGAAAUGCGUAGAGAUGUGGAGGAACACCAGUGGCGAAGGCGACUCUCUGGUCUGUAACUGACGCUGAGGCGCGAAAGCGUGGGGAGCAAACAGGAUUAGAUACCCUGGUAGUCCACGCCGUAAACGAUGAGUGCUAGGUGUUAGGGGUUUCGAUGCCCGUAGUGCCGAAGUUAACACAUUAAGCACUCCGCC
rnacentral:rRNA from 2 species